GAAUAGACCGGAAGACAUGAAACAAAGAAACGACAGAACUAAAAUUAAAGUUGAGAUAAAGUAAAAAUAAGUACCUCAGAGGGAAGGCAAUAUAACGGACAGGAAAUGAAAAACAGGUAAACCGAACCGUAAAUAACAAAGAACUAUACAUGACAUAGAUAUAACUACCUAGAUAUAAAAAGGAUACAGGAUUUGCAGCUAAAGGAUUAGCCGCUAAAGGCCAAAGAUUUUCUGUGCUCCCACGUUGGUGUCUGAGCACUGGUCACUGUAUGUGUUUCAUAAUGAAACUGGAAGGAGUGUCAA